GAUGAACGCUGGCGGCGUGCCUAAUACAUGCAAGUCGAGCGAACAGACGAGGAGCUUGCUCCUCUGACGUUAGCGGCGGACGGGUGAGUAACACGUGGAUAACCUACCUAUAAGACUGGGAUAACUUCGGGAAACCGGAGCUAAUACCGGAUAAUCUAUUCAACCGCAUGGUUCAAUAGUGAAAGACGGUUUUGCUGUCACUUAUAGAUGGAUCCGCGCCGCAUUAGCUAGUUGGUAAGGUAACGGCUUACCAAGGCAACGAUGCGUAGCCGACCUGAGAGGGUGAUCGGCCACACUGGAACUGAGACACGGUCCAGACUCCUACGGGAGGCAGCAGUAGGGAAUCUUCCGCAAUGGGCGAAAGCCUGACGGAGCAACGCCGCGUGAGUGAUGAAGGUCUUCGGAUCGUAAAACUCUGUUAUUAGGGAAGAACAAAUGUGUAAGUAACUAUGCACGGCUUGACGGUACCUAAUCAGAAAGCCACGGCUAACUACGUG
rnacentral:rRNA from 1 species